rfam:Lupinus angustifolius cultivar Tanjil chromosome LG17, whole genome shotgun sequence.
UUGGCAUGGUGAUGAUGAAGUUUAUUGUCAUCUGAUAACUCAAAUGAUGAAUAAAACACCUCCUACUCAUUCUGA